UACAGAGGGUGCAAGCGUUAAUCGGAAUUACUGGGCGUAAAGCGCGCGCAGGCGGUUCUUCAAGUCAGAGGUGAAAGCCCAGAGCUCAACUCUGGAAUGGCCUUUGAGACUAGAGAACUAGGGUACGGGAGAGGUGAGUGGAAUUCCGAGUGUAGAGGUGAAAUUCGUAGAUAUUCGGAAGAACACCAGUGGCGAAGGCGGCUCACUGGCCCGUUACCGACGCUCAGGCGCGACAGCGUGGGGAGCAAACAGG
rnacentral:rRNA from 1 species